rfam:Ornithorhynchus anatinus chromosome 2, whole genome shotgun sequence.
GCCCUCUCAGGAUUGCACCUGGAGAGUUUCCAGGACUCUACCGGUCUCGACUACGGAAGGGAGAGUCAAGCAGACGCAUCCCCAUUCCAUUCCUAACUUGGACAGUGGCUAGCGAGUAGAAGGCAAUCUGCUGCAAGU